CGUGGGGGAGGCAGCAGGAGAGCUGGACCCAAAGGUGCACCCUCUGUGGCAACCCUCUGUGCAUCUCUGACCAAGGAUGCGGGCUCCACAAGGGUAAAGAUCUUUGGUGUUCUGUUCACCACUGUCUCCUCAGGACCCAGGACAGGGCCUGGCGUGCAGAAGGCACUCAAUAUUUAUCAAAAGAAAGUUGAAUGGAUGCGAGUGUGGCCCUCUGGCCUGCAGCCUGAUACUGAGAGCACAGUAAGCCCUAGACAGAUGCCCACAUGUGGAUCUGCUCAGGAUACAUCUGCUCCUUCUUCCAGGAUCUGCACACAUUUAUUAGAUGCUUUUAAAAACGCGAGACAACCUGCACAGACAUUAGCAGGAGAUGGUCGAAUAUAUCAUGCAGCUAUUAAAAGAAGAAUGACUUACACUAAAAUCCCCUGAGCUGGACGGAAGCGCAUGAUGCUGCUGAAUGAUCACAAUCUGAGGCUGGUUUUGGUGGCAAGAGAUGCACCAGAGCUGUCCAGGGCCUGUGGGAUCCAAGAUCACAGGCACGAUUACAACAUGAGAAGCAGAUGCUCCAGCCUGCUGUUUCCUGCUCCUGCUUUAGGACUUCAGAGGCAGCUUGGGCUGCAAGGGUCUUCUGGGGCCUCCCUGGCCAUCCCUUUGACUGCAGACGGGAUGAAACCAGCCAUCCCUCCAGGCUACCCUGGGGGGCGGUGUGUGUGGGGAGCUUAUUGUUUGAGCUUCUUCCUGGUCAUGUAACUCUCCCCUCCAGGGAAUCCCUGCAGAUGUCUAUUUUAAACCUCC